UUGAAAGGGAAACGAUUGAAGUCAGUCAUACCAACGGGAAAUCAACCUCUUGAGCUCGGUCUCGUGGGUUUUGAAGAGUUUCAAAGCCUUCGGAUUCGCGAGAUUGGGAUCUCUUGGUGUACUUUUUCGUACGGUUAGUCAACAUCGGUUUUGUAUGUCAUAAAAUGACCGGAGGAAUGUAGCUUCGAUCUCGUAUUGAAGUGUUAUAGCCUUUGGUAGAUGUGAUGUUUGAGACCGAGGAUUGCAACGGAUACCCUUCAGGGCUAUUCGUCUGAUCUCUGAUACGUUGCCUUGAUGUGGAAAGCUCGCUUAUGGUGUUCAAAUUACGGUCAAAAGGUUAGAACGAAUUACAUUCGUUAAGGAUGUUGACGUA
rnacentral:rRNA from 1 species